CUUCCGGAAGCAGUACUAUCGUGGUUAUUCUUUCGAAAACUUUUAAGUAGGUCUUUCUGUUGUUCUUCCCAAGGUUGUUGCACAAUUGCGCUGCUUUCCUGUGGGGUGUCAUCACAGCCGUGUCAAUGAGAAGUGGGCAAUCAAGAAUUGAACAGCCUUGCUAUGUCAAGUGUCCUUUAUUUCUCUGAUGCUUUUGACAAGUUGUCCAAAGGGAGAAAUGGUAGUAACGGAAGUGAAGUGACAUGAAAAUGAAGGAAAAUGAAAUGAUCUGCUUCCUUACCCUGGUGGAAUACACAUUUCAAACGAGGGGUAGCAGAGAAGUAAGCACUGUAUUCUGUUGAAAAAUUAUUUUUUCAUCAUUUGGGUGGAGAGGGAAACCCUAAAAUGAUACGACCAUGUAUAAAGUCGGCAAUUUAUAGAGAAAAUGAAACUUUUUUCUCCGUUCUCUCCCCAGUCGUAGUACUUCACAAGGCCUUCCACAUCACUCUUACAUGUGUAUAAACAUGUUAUUUCGUUUCCUUGUGAAAGUGAGAGUAUAUAUGCAUACCAUUCUGUUAUCUGCGUUUUCAGAUAAGAAAAAAUAUAUGGCGGAAAUCUUGCCGUACAUAGCUCUACUUUAUCUUAACGUCAGCAUGGUAUUCUUUGACAGGUUGUACCAUAAUGUAGUUAACCAUCUCUUAACGUGACUUGCCCAUACAUUUUGCCCAUUAUUCUUCAGAAUUAUUUAUCUAUAUUCUAUUAGGGUGCAGAUAUAUUAAUUCUUUGUGAAAUAUAUGGCAGAUAUUUUCAAGAACUGUCAGUCUUUUGGUUUAAAAUACCCAGGCUUUCUGUUACUUAAGAAGGCAUUUCCCACUCAAAAAAUUAUUUUCCUGUAUUGUCUAUUCUUUUUUAGUUUUUUAUGCUUUAUUCAUUAAAAUAUCUGAAAAUUAUUUUUGUACAUUAUAUAAGGUAGGGAUUUAGCCGUUUUUCCUGAAAUCAUUUGUUGAAAUCAUUUCUUCUGACUAGAAUACUACUGUAUUAUAAUAAAUUUCCAUGUAUAUAUGGGUCUUUUAUUAUUAUUAUUCUUUUGCUUUAUUCUAUUUGUCUAUUCCUAUACAAAUACCAGUCUCCUGAUUAUAGCAUGUUCUAGUAGUUCAUAAAGCAAGUCCUUCAUUUAUCUUUUUCAAAAUUUUCUUGAAUAUUAUUGCAUUCUUUUUGAGGUAAAGUUUAAAGUAUAACUGUUCAUGUUUCAUUAAAAUAAUCCUUUGGGGGGCGCCUGGGUGGCUCAGUCGUUAAGCGUCUGCCUUCGGCUCAGGUCAUGAUCCUGGGGUCCUGGGAUCGAGCCCCACAUCGGGCUCCCUGCUCGGCGGGAAGCCUACUUCUCCCUUUCCCACUCCCCCUGCUUGUGUUCCCUCUCUCGUUGUCUCUCUCUCUGUCAAAUAAAUAACUAAAUAAAAAAAAUCGUUAAAAAAAUAAAAAUAAAUAAUAAAAUAAAAUAAUCCUUUGGGGGCACCUGGUUGGCUCAGUCAUUAAGCAACUGCCUUUCACUCAGGUCAUGAUCCCAGGGUCCUGGGAUCGAGCCCUGCAUUGGGCUUCCAGCUCCCGCUUGUGUUCCCUCUCUUGCUGUGUAUCUCUCUAAUAAAUAAAUAAGACUUAAAAAAAAAAAAAAAAAAAACAGGGCGCCUGGGUGGCUCAGUUGGUUAAGUGACUGCCUUCAGCUCAGGUCAUGAUCCUGGAAUCCCUGGAUCGAGUCCCGCAUCGGGCUCCCUGCUCGGCGGGGAGUCUGCUUCUCCCUCUGACCCUCCCCCCUCUCAUGUGCUCUCUCUCAUUCUCUCUCUCUCUCAAAUAAAUAAAUAAAAUCUUAAAAAAAAAAACUAUUAAAAUAAUCCUUUUGGAGGUUUUAGCUAUUAUAUUCACUAAUAUUUUGUGGCUGGUACCUAGAUGAGUGAUUCUAUAUCUGGCCAACUUUCUAAACUUACUAGUUUUUUUUGUUGUUUUUUUUUGUUGUUUUUAAAGAUUUUAUUUAUUUAUUUGAGAGAGAGAAUGAAACAGAGAGCAUGAGAGAGGGGAGGGUCAGAGGGAGAAGCAGACUCCCCGCUGAGCAGGGAGCCCGAUGCGGGACUCCAGGAUCAUGACCUGAGCUGAAGGCAGUCGCUUAACCAACUGAGCCACCCAGACACCCUAAACUUACUAGUUUUAAUAAAUUGUUUCCCUUGAAUUUUCUAGGAAGAGUCAUCUAAAUAUAAUCUUAUCUUUAUACUUCUUUUCUUUCUUUGAUUUAGUGAAUUGCUAGUUUCUCCAGCGCAGUGAUAUGUAGUAACAGUGAUUCUGGCCAUCCAUAUAUUAUUUCUUAGUUUGUGGAUGUUUUUACUAUGUCAUCAUUAAAUAAGGGGUUUACUAUUAAUUUCCAAUAAAUUCUGUUCAUCAAGGAAAUGUCUUUAAUAUUUCUAGCUUACUAGGAUUUUUGCAGAGAAUGGAUUUUAUUUUGUUUUAUUUUAGAGAGAGAGCAAGGGGGGAGGGGGCAGAGGGGGGGAGAGAGAGAAUCUCAAGCAGGCUUCAUGCUCAACUCAGAGCCUGAAGCGGGGCUCGGUCUCACGACUCUGAGAUCAUGACCUGAGCCGAAAUCAAGAGUCAGAUGCUUAACCUACUGAGCCACCCACACACCCCACAGAGAAUGGAUUUUAGGCCAAGGUUGUAUGUGUGUGUUUACAUUGACUAGCACAUUGAGAGCAUUUUGAAUAAUGGAUGUUGAGUGUUCAUUUGGUCUGUAUAUUUCUGGUUGUUAAGAUGAUGUCUUUCCAUUACAACUUAACUAAACAUUUUUAUUAGAAGUGGAAGUUGAAUUUUGUCAAAUGGCUUUUGGCAUCUGUCAUGACCUAUUAUGUGCUUUUCUUUGACCUCUUAGGAUGAUGGGUUAUUUUAUUUGAAUUCCAGUUUGUGAAUCCACCUUAUGUUUGGUUAUGGUGUAAUAUUUAAGCAUAUAGGUUUCUUUUUGGUAACAUUUUUACUUAAAAUCAGUAUUUGGGUAUCAUCUGUAGCCAUCAUUUUCUGUGUUAUCUUUGCCAGAGUUUGAUAUUAGGGUUAUGAGUUUCCUAAAAAAAACUGAGAAGAAUUCCUGCUUUCUCUGCACUGAAGUUAGUUUAAACGGCAUAAGAGCUCUCUGUUCUUAUAAGAUUUGAAAGAAUUCACUCAUGAAACCAUGUUGGCCUGAAAGUACAUUGUUCUUAAAAUAGCAACAAUAUUCAGCAAAAAGCCUCAGAACUUAAAAAAAGCAAACAAACAAAAAGUCCACAGAGUAAAUCCAAAUAAAGGGAAGAGUUUAAGAUACCAAUAUAUUGAAAACAACUUCUGUGUUGAUCCUGGUCAUUUUUCUCCCCUCCCCCACCUCUUUUUUUUUCCAUAGUCAGAGAAAAUGCUAUAUAGGUAGGCUGAGGCUGAUAAUAAAAUGUAUUGCUGUUCUUUCUUUCCUCCACUCCAGUUAUACUAUAAAGUAAAGGGUGUUGCGUCUACAUGGGCAAGCUCUUCUCUGCCCUGAAGGAAACCAGGAAUGACACUCAACUGGGAAAGCAUCAGUUUCACUUUGUUGUCAUUAGCUUCCCAAUUUUGUUGGGAAAUUUCUUUCUUUAGAGGUACUAACCGAGCUAACAUUCUACUGUAGCCAAAUCCCAUAGGAGAGUUUCAAAAUGAGUAGGUGAAAAAAAUACGCAAGCUCAGCAUGACGGUACUUACUUAAUAUGAAGUGAAAAUUAUUAACAUUAGCAUGGUCCAGAUAUGUGUGUGACAUGUGUAUUGUGUACUCUUUGGUAGGGUUAUUACCUUUUAUAAGUGAUUAUUUCAGACACUUUUUGAUCACUCAAGAAUAUGACCUUAAGCAGGUAAUGUAAUUUAUCAGUAUACAUCUGUAAACUGUGGAGGACUUCAAGACACUCAUAAGUGUUAUUUACAGAGAGAUGCAGGCAUUAUGUGAAUGCUUGCAUAUUUGAGUAUUUUAAUUGAUCGUAUAUCAGUCUAGAUAAAAUAAUUAUUGACAUGAUUUAGGAGUGUGCCAUAUAACAACGAAAGACUUUGCAUGUUUUUUAAAGCCAUACUCAUUAUCCAAAAGUAAAUGGUAAAUAAAAAUAAGUAGCCUGUGAUGUAAAACUUCACUAUUCUAACUAUUCUGACAUGAUGCAUUAACUGAUUAGCUGUACUGCUGUUUUGUAUUUUGUUUGUUUUCUGACACCUUAUAAGCAUGUAUAUUACUGUUUAAUUUCACUAGUUUGAGUUUCAUUAUGUCAGGCCAAAUUUUGAUUUCUGGUUCCUGUAGGAUUUAUGUUGUGGCCGCCAUUCCCCUUCCCCCCAUCUCCUUGCUGCUGUGGUUUUCACUCGUGGGUAGAGGGAAAGAGGAGGCUAUUAUCUAGAAUAGGUAACAAAAAUCUCUUUAUAGUCUGGGACCAAGAUUCUGAGUCAUUUUCAAAAAAAGAAUAGAGAAUAUUAAAUGAACUGCCUUGUGGGUAGAUGGCUAAUUAGUGUACAGUCUUUUGAACUAGAUGUGGUAUUUGACACUGUUCAGAACAGUUGAGGAGGACCGGAACAGGCAGCGGUACCAGGUCCUUUGCAACUGAAAACAAGCCUUUGGGACCCAUGUAAUACGUAUGUCAUAGUUUUUCAAUCCUUAGUCUAUAAAAACUUUUAAAAUUAUGGUGAAAUACAUAAAAUGUGAAAUUUACCAUCGUAACCAUUUUUAAAUGUACAGUUUUGUGGUGUUGAAUGUAUUUACAGUUGUGCAAACAAGAAUUCUUAAGGGACCUUAAGGGACUUUGUUUGUUUGUUUGUUUUUUGUUUUAAAGAAAAAGAGUCUGGGAAGUAAAUAAUACUUAUCUCAUAGGGGAAAUGUCCUGUAUAGUAACCUGAGUUUUCUUCCUUUUAUCCAGAGAUAUAUCUCUAUGAUAGUAAUUAUCAAUACUAAAUUAUGAGAGUAAACUGAGCACUGAUGAUCUGCAUUAGCUUUCACUUACUACCGAUACUUUUGGUUUGAAAAAAAAAGUGUCUAUGAAAAAUAGGUUGUGAAAACAAGGUCUGUCUUUCAAGUCAUUUCAGUAAGGAAUUAUUGGGAAUUGAGCAGAUAAAGAAGAAUAACAUGAGUUCUAUUUUGAUGGUUACUUAAGAAGUUGAAGUUUUAAGAAUCUUUGAAAUAUUUGCAUAGAGUGAGGUAUAGAGAAUUGUUCUCUGGAGCACACAACCGGGUAAUUUUGCUAGGGAGAGUGACUUGCUAAAUGGACAGAAAUCAGGGACUUAGGUCUCUUCAAAAUAAUAUGUUAUUUCAAAUCACUUGAAUAAAAUCACCUGCUCUUAUGGGAUAUUUAAAUGCUUGUAUUAUUCAUAGCCACUUGUUAUGUAGCAUUUCCUAUAAUAGAAUUUCAUAUAUUUCCUGUCACUAAAUUAGAAAUGCCUUUCCUUUGAUAUUGAUGGUUCUUGGCUUUUUAAAAUCCUUCUCUCCUUUUUCAUAAACGUUAAAAUCUCACACAUCCAAGGAGAUUUAAUAUUUGUUCCUUCUUCCCACAGUCUUCUCUUACACCUCCUCAUACUGAAUAUAAACUUGGCUCUUGUAGUUCCCCCAUCUAAGAAUAUUCUGCAGAGCACUACUUUAUAUGAUUUAUGAAAACAGAUUUUUAUUAUUAAAUAGCCAUUUUAAACUGCAUAAACCCCAUUCUACCCCCCAUCUCCAUAUUUUAACAUGAUCCUUACUCAGGAGAGGAUACUCCUUAGGAAGCUGAGGAAGCUAACUGAACAGUGCCAUGUUUCUGUUUACCUUGGGGUAGAACAUCGUGCCAUGCCCAAUUUCUCUUUUGGUGUUAUACUGUUUGGUUGUGCACUUCAACUCCUAGAAUUUGAUAAACAGUUUGAGAGAAAGAAGUACUACUGGACCAAAAAAAAAGGAAGUAAGGCAAAGCUGAGACACAUGGGUGUGGUCUUUGUGAAAUCUUUGAACGCUUAGAAGAUAACACAAAAAGUUUCACCAAGUCCGAACAUCCAGCAAAAUGGGGAGCCUGGUCUGGGGAGGUUUGGGGUUGAUCUUUGGGGGGUUCAUCUUACCUUGUUUAUCCUGAUACAUUUAGCAUACUACCAGCUUAUGGAAAAAAUAUAAAAUCAAAAUUCUGACACUGCUGGAUCAAUGGUAUUUCAGUUUCUAUUAUUUCAGCUGCCUGACUGCAACACAGUCACAGUUCUAGUGCAGUGUGCUAUGGGUAUAUCAGAAAGUGAGACCAGAAAUGCAAACUGUUAUUUUGGAGAAUUGGCUGCUUAUGUUAGGGAACUCUCUUAAGAGUGGGAAAUGAUUAUAACUGUUAGGAGUGACAGUUCUUUUCCAUUACCUUUCUUUAAGUGGGGAAAACACACAGACUUUUUUUUUUUUUAAUAUUUUAUUUAUUUAUCAGAAAGAGAGAGAGAGCACAAGCAGGGGGAGCAGCAGAGGGAGAGGGAGAAGCAGGCUCUCCGCUGAGCAGGGAGCCUGAUGUGGGACUCGAUUCAGGGACCCUGGGAUCAUGACCUGAGCUGAAAGCAGACGCUUAACUGACUGAGCCACCCAGGCAUCCCAUGGACUUUUGAGUGUCUUUAAAAAAUUUACCCUAAGACAAGAUGUCCUUUUAUUUAAGUGUAUUUACUAUGUUAUUGACUAGUGCUUUUUGCUUCUGAUGAUUUUCAUGGGUGAAAAAGUGAACACAGAGCUAAAAUACAAAAAGGGGGUAUCUUCCACUAAUUUACUUACCUCUUCUUUUGCUAAGGUGCCAACUUUUCUGAAAUAGAAUGUGAAUGCUUAUUAUUAUUCAUACCCUAAGGGGUUGGAAAAGCAGAUGACUUUCUUUUCUAGGGUGGAGUGGAAGAGGUAGCUCCAGGUGAUUUCCUCCCCCCAUCCUGAAACUUCUUUGGAUUUAAAGUGGCCUCUUACCACAAGUGUAAACCUGGCAGACCACUUACCUAGACACAGUAGUCUCAGCAGUGGGCGAAACCCAACAGAGGGGCCUUUCCCACCUCCCAAAUCACCCAUACUUGUCUCUACCCCACAAAAAAUAGACCUUACUAAAGCCUUAUAAAUCAUUCAGGGUGGAGGUGGUGAGAAUCUGAUACCUUUAAGCCUGUGAUUCUUUUUUUUUUUUUUUAAGAUUUUAUUUAUUUAUUUGACAGAGAGAGAGAACACAAGCAGGGGGAAUGUCAGGCAGAGGCAGAGGGAGAGGCAGGCUCCCCGCAGAGCAGGGGGAGCCUGAUGUGGGACUCGAUCCCAGGACCCUGGGAUCAUGACCUGAGCCAAAGGCAGUCGCUUAACCAACUGAGCCACCCAGGCGCCCAAGCCUGUGAUUCUUUUCCAAACUUGAAAUCCCAAAAUAUAUAACUAAUCAAAGUUGAGUUGUUUUGAUUGAGCUGGGCAAUUGGUGGAACAUUGUUUUGCUUUACACACCCCCAGCCUCAGUAGAGCUCUGGAAGCACCGCUACCUACUUUAUUAUUUUAUUUAUUCAGGAUUGGUUAACAAUCACUUGGCAGAAUACUGGUUACCAAAGAUAGCAGGCUUAAGAUACUUUAUAUAUGAAAUAAGAAGUUCGUUUAAGAAGAAGAGGCUGGGAGGAAUUAGAGUAUCACUUCAGAAGAUUCAACAUCCAGAUAGAGGAGUCCCACAAAGGAAUACAGAAGGAAAGAAAUUGCCCAAAAAAUAAUUGAAGAAAAUUUCCUAGAAGUGAGGGGUGAACCAGGUGAGUUAAGUACAAGAUCAGGAAUCAAAAUGGCUCUGGACUUCCACAAAAACAAAUGGAAGCUAGAAGACAGCAUAGCAAAGCUAUGACCUGAAUCCUUACUUUGCAUAGUGAAGACAAGUAAAACUGAAAAAUCAGUAAUGGCAAUAUUAGUAUGUUAUUUAGAGAUACCAAGAUAAAUCCCAGAAAGAACCAAAGGAGCUAAAAAUUGUUGCCAAGAUGAAGCAGGAAAUGAGGGGAAAGAGAGAGCAAGAGAUUUACAGUUUUUCUUAAGCCUUGUAAAACUCCUUGACUCCUUAAAAUAUAGAUAUGUAUAGCUUUGGUUAAAAAUAAAAUAAAAACUAAAUUAGUGAAAAGAGCUAGAGAUUGGACUUUCAUAUCAGAGAGACCUGGAUUUAUCUGGGUCUUUCAUUGUCUAAUUCUUUGACCUUAGUCAAUUUAUAUAAACUUUUGAAGCUCGUUUUCUUUAUAUAGAAAGAAAGGGAAGAUAAUCUAUGCUCCUGCAGAAGAAAAAUUAAAAUAAGAUAGUUUAUAUAAAGCACCUGGCAAGUAAUAUUACCUCAGUAGGUAUCAAUCCCUCCCCCAUCCCUAAUGUUUCCCAUGAGGAAAUAGGGAAAUGCCUCUUUCAUUGUUAGAAUGCUUGUCAUUCAAACACAAAACUGAAAUUGUCCUUAUGGUCUGGGGUUGUGUCCCUUUCUGGAUUGAAGGCAUGUCAUUGAGUUCUAUGCCCUUUCUCAACUAUUUAUAGAUAGUUUGAGAAUUUAGAUAGAAUUGAGAUGAUUAGAGUAUUGGUGGGUGGAGCAUCAAGUGAAAAGGGCCAUUGCUACUUGGUAGGAGAAGAGCUAUGGUCACACUCAAAUUUCUUUCUCAACAUGAACUUUGGUGCAAAUGCCAUUAGUGGAGUCGCUUCCAUUAACAGAGGAAACACUUGUAUAGACUGGUAAGUUGUGGAAAUUUCAGGGAACCAAGAUCGUUAGAGUGCUAUUGCUCUGGGCCAUCUGCCAAAGUAUCAAAAUACCUUUUUUUUCUUUCUUUUUUUAAGAACAUCUUCUACCUUAGCAACUGCUAUUUUUGUUUCCAAAUUCUAUAUACUUCUUCUGGAACAAUUCAAAAAGCAGAUCACUGUGGAACAAAAAAGACACUUUAUAAAAAGUCUGUUUCCCUGCCUUGGUACAUAUUUGUAUAGUGUUAUACAGAGUACACCGCUUUUCCAGUUAUGAAUUGACCCCCUAUGGCAGUGAUUCUAAAAUUGUCUCACAACUGCUCUUCCCUCUUCUCCCCUUUACCCCCCACAAAAAAUUAUCCAAGAAGUCUUGGACAGGUUUGCUGAUCUGUUUUUUUAAACCACCCUGGAUGAUUCUAUUGACCCAUGUUGUACAGUACGUUCUACCCUAAGCAUCCUAAACUGGGGCAGAUGAGGGAACUGAGGUCCACAGGAAGGUUAAAUGACUUGUUCACCCUCACCGAUCAACAAGCGUGUAUUCUAUACUCCCAAAUCUGAUUUUAUCUUUGGUUGACCAGGCUUUUUAAUUUUUCUUUCUAAUGUUCAAAUUGUCUUAAUAAAGAAGAAGCUAAUUUAUACAGGAUGUGGUCUCAAUUAAAAAUUAAGUUUGGGAUCUUUAUUUUAUAGCAUCUUUUUAUUUUUUCCAGAUACAAAAAGAAUGAAAAAAGUGAAAAUUUUUAAUAAACUCUUGUUUCCCCACAGUAGGGUAGCACAGCAAAUGUUAAGAUUUACUAGGUCUGAAUAUUCACAUUUAAGAAAAACUGGCUUUGAAAAGAGUGGAAACUCGGUCAAUUUGGGCACAGAUGCAGGUUGGAGAGGUUGGUUUGUCAGGAUACCCAGGGAUUUAGGGGUCCUGUCUUCAGGGGUAUUCAACAACUGGAAUAAGAGUGUGUUACAUGGUAUUAUAUCUGGUUUUAAACUUUUAUCAUACUAAACAUUUAAAGUCACACCCUAAACAUCUUGGGAAUGACUGGAAAUAGAGAUCUGGAAAUCUCUGAAACCUUAUUUAUUUUCUCAUUGGAGUUCUCACAAUUACUUCUAAAAAAACAAGUUGUGACUUGCAAACAUUUGCCCAACAGCCUCGAGGUGUCCUCAGGGAAAUUAAAAGCAGGGGUAUGAAGAGCUGGGGAGUCCCGUGCCAGUGUUUAAGAGCACAGAGUACAGCUUUAUAAUUAUAUAAGCUUUUGCCUGUUCCCAUUUAUCAUCGGUAGUAUUCUCAAGACUAAGUGACCGCUCAGCAAUUUAAACUGUGAUUUAAGAGAAAAUAGGCCUUUUUAUGAAAAGGUCCCCUAUCUGUCUCCUAAAGUUUUAUAUCUUCAUAGAAGAACUCUUUCCUUUCAUAGUGGUUUUGUUUUGUUCUGAUACAGUAAAUGACACACAGAUGCUGGAGGGGUCCCUAAUCUGUUAACUUGUGAGAUUUUAUUUUAUUUUUUUUUUUAAGAUUCUAUUUAUUUGAGAGGGAGAGAAAACAUGAGAGAGAGAGCGCACAAGCAGAGUGCACAAGCAGGGUGGAGUGGCAGGCUGCCAGCUCAGCCUUACGCAGGACUGAUCCUAAGACCCCAGGAUCAUGACCUAACCAAAGGCAGAUGCUUAACGAACUGAGCCACCCAGGCACCCCAACUCAUGAGAUUUUAACGACUUCUUCAAAAGCAACUUUUCCUUUUAUGAAUCUUGUGCAGCCUGUGACAUCUCAUACAUUAUUGUGUUCUGUUUGGGGGGACUCUUUCAGGAUUACUGAAAAUAUUUUUUUUUUCCAAACUCUUCUGGUUAAGACCAGAAGAUAGGUACAAACCAUCCUACUCCUGUGCAAGAUCAUUAGUAAUUCUACUUUCUUGUCAUAAAUUGGGCGGAGUAGAAGGGAGGAGAUUUCAAAAAGAAUGCAUUCAGACACUUUACCAGAGAGUUAUUUUCCUGUUAUUUAACAGCAUGUAAGGGUUAACAGAACAGAGCAUUAGAUAACAUUCCUACCGUUUUGCCUAAUAGUCUCUUUACAUAAGAUAACAGACUUCUGCUAAAAUGCCUUAGUGUUUUAUGCAUUCCUUAGUUUAUUAUGUACCUUCUUACAUUGUCCAGAUAGUAAGUGGCCCUAUCCUCUUUUUUGCUUUAUAUUUGAGAGGAAAAGAGUGUACAUCUUGUGACAUGAAGUGACAUGAUAAUAAAUAUUACUUCUUUCUCCACUAUUUUCCUUUCAAAAAUUUGGUUUUUUUGGUAAAAAGAUUUGAGCUUGGUUGACUGUCCAAGGACUUACUAGUAUCAGAGGACAUUCGAAACAGGACUUUAAGAAUAGGGAUAUAAGCAGGAGGGAAGCCAUACUUAAUAUAUAUUUGUUCCUCUAGAUUUUGUUAUCACUCAGUUGGCACAUUUUUCCUGCCCUGUUGUUAAUUAUAUGUCUUCUAUAGUACUCUGUCCAAAAGUGUAUUCAAUAUCUUUCUUCCCAAAACAUUUUUCUUCCUGUUUCUCUAUCUGGCUAUCAUCACUGUCUGCCUAGUAUUUUGAAAAAUAUGGCUGGUGAACUAUUUUCAACAAAGUCACCUGGGUUACUUAUUAAAAUGCAGAUUCCAGGACCCCAUCCCAGGCCAGCUGAUUCAGAAUUGCAGGAACCUGAAUGCUGCCUUCCUGUCGAUCCACUUGGCCAACAAAUCCCAUUGAUUCUGACUUAGAAAUGUCUCUUUAAUGUAUUCCAUCUUUCACUUCCCCUGCUCUUGUUCAAGCCCAUCUUUCACCCAGACUACAGCAAUAGUUUCCUAUGGAUAUCCUCACUUUGUCUCCCUCAUUAGUUUGUAUUCCACAAUGGGUAUCCAGUUUACCUUUCUAAAACAUGUUUAUCUCCUGCUUGAAAAUCCUCCAUUACUUUUUUUUUUUAAGAUUUAUUUAUUUUAAAGAGAAAGAAUGUGCUUGCACAUGAGCAGGGGGAGGGGCAGGCGGAGGGGGAAAACCCUGAAGCAGACUCCCCACCAAAGUCAAGAGCAAGAUGCUUAACUGACUGAGCCACCCAGGCACCCCCAAAAUCCUGCAUUACUUCUCAAUGUCAGGUUAAAGUCUAAAUUUAUUAGAGUAACAUUCAGGGUCCACUACAAUCUGGCCAUAACUGAGUCUGCUGCAUAUAGUUUAUGCACUUAGUACUCUCUGUAACUCUAGGGGGUUCCAUUCCAAUUACGGUCUGCCUGAGUGGUGCCCCUAGGGUUUUUGUAGUGCAGCACAAUCAUACAUGGUAGCCCUGACCAUUCUGUCUUAAUACCCUCACCUCUCCAUCUUCUGUACACAUCUUAGACUUACAUAAAUAGGAUACCUCCAGUCCCUAAAUGCACUAUACUAGUGACUUCUCAAUGCCUCUCCUCUUUCAGAGUGAAUAUUCUUUCCUCCCACUCAUUCUCUGCUUGUUGAAAUCCUCAUGUUUCAGGGCCUAGUUUAAGUGUCAGAUCCUCUAUGAAGCCUUCUACAAUCCCUCUCAUUUUAAUUGUUUUUCCUAUUGAGCUGUUACCCUGCUUAUACCUUUUAUUUAACAGUUCUUUUUUCUUUUUCUUUUGAGAUAAAACUUAUAUGCAGUAAAUCUUCAGUGAACCAUUGGGCGAAUUCCUGCAAAUGCUUCUACCUGUGCUUCCCAGACCCCUAUCAAGAUAUGAUCAUACCUUUUUACACAUUUAUAAUUGGCCUGCUAGUAUGGUUAAUCAUUUUCAUGCUUGUCUGCCUUACUAAAUUAUAAGCUCUAAUUAGAGAAAAAAAACAAAGACUAUGACUUUGUCUCUUUCACUUGGAAAAAAGGAGCACAUACGAUGUAUUCAGCACUGAACCAGUGUUGACUGUUGUACCAGUUAGUAAACAACUCUGCUCCUCUCAAGAUAUUCUCAAAGACAGUGGCUUAAAUAAGACAGAAAUUUUAUUUCUUUCACAUACUUCAAUUUAAAGUAUAAGUUGUCCAGUGCUGAUCUGGCAGCUCCACGGUGUCAAGGACCUAGACAUCUUCAUUCUUGUUCCUGCAUCCCCUUGUCCUUCCACCAUCCCUGAAGUGUUACCACCCGUUCUAGGUGACUCACCACAACAUCCCAUCCAGCUGGGGAAGGGAAAAAAGUGAAGAGCUCCUCUUGGAAGUUGCACUUACUUGCCAAUGACCAGAACAUAGUCACCUGACCAUACCAGUUAAAAGUCAGGAAUAUUAGAGAAGAGAAUAGAUACUGAGGAACAGAUAACAUACAUACUUCAUAUAUGGUUUCAUUUAAUCUUCAUAAUAACACUGCAAACUAUGUAGCAUAAGAAAACUAAUAUCAGAGAAGCCAAGUAAAUGGCUAGAAAAUUGCAGAUAGGAGAUCUGAAUCCAAAGCCUUUACUUUUUUCAUUCUACGUAGUUAAGUGUUAGGAGGACGUACAUAAAUGUUACUAAAUAAAUAAAGUCAUCUUUACAGUGUUAUUUCACAUAUUUUUAUAUCACAUAGUUUCACAGUAUCAUAUCAUCUCUUUAAUUCCAGGACACCCUAUAUAACUUUACUCCAUGCUUCUCACCAUCUUGAAAUGCCAUAUCAGCUGGUUUGUAACCAAGGCCUAGUUUAUAGUACAAUUUAAGACAAAAUGACUACUUCUUUUAAAGCUAUGAUAUCAUAUGAGGAAAAGUAUAUCACUGUAUUUCCCAAGCAAUAGCUUCAAUACUCUGUAUUUAUUUGGAAAUGCUAUAUAAUCAUAAAGUUGAAGGAGAUUAUAUUAUUUAGCCCCUUAGUUUUAUUUAUUUUUUUCUAAAGAUUUUUAUUUAUUUGAGAGAGGGUGAGAGAGAGAGAGAGAGACCACGCUAAGGGAGAGGGGCAGAGGGAGAAGCAGGCUCCCCACUGAGCGUGGAGCCCAAUAUGGGACUCAGUCCCAGGACCCUGGGAUCAUGACCUGAGCCAAAGGCAGACGCUUAACCAACUGAGCCACCCAGGCGUCCCCAGCCCCUUCAUUUUAAAAGAAAGGAAAAUUGAGGUUCAUUGAAGAUACAAGACUUAUCCUUUAUUUCAUUCUCAUUGCUGCUGCUUUUCAAGCAUCAUGGGAAGAGCACUAGCCUAAUCAGUCAUUUCUGUAAGUAACCUUCGUUGUUAUACUAAAGAAUUGUCUCAGGUUUGCAGAGUUGUAUGAUUAGAAAAAUCAAGGGGCGCCUGGGUGGCUCAGUUGGUGAAGCACCUGACUCUUGAUUUCAGCUCAGGUCAUGAUCUCAGGCCUGAGAUGAAGCCUCAGGUGGGGCUUCUCGCUCAGCAGGGAGUCUGCUUGAGAUUCCCUCUCUCUCUUCUCCCCUCCCCUUGCAUGUGCACACUCUCUGUUUCCCAAAAAAAUAUUAAAAAAAGAAAGAGAAAAAUCAAGCUGAACAAUGCAUAAAGAAAUGCUUAUUAUCCUAGCCUUUUUUAGUGAAGAAUGGAUAUUAUCUAACACUAAAAACAUCUUUAUAGCCCUUGGGAACCUGUUCUAGAAAGGAUCAGUAUUUGAUAAUCAAAUAAAAGGAAUGGGUGAGAUCAUACCUAUCCAUAAUUCAAAACCUAGUACAAAUGUUACCUACCUCUCAAAGCCUUUCCUAAACCUCAAAAAUAGAUGUAACCACUUUCCUCUCCCAAUUCUAUAGCCUUUGGAUACCUCAGGGUACAUAUAUAUACAGUUUAAGUUAUAGCUAAUGGUACCUUUGGGAAGAUAGGUUUCAUGUUUCUUUUGUUCUCAGUGUCAGUGGUGCCCAGUACAGGCUUUGCUCUUACUUGGCAAUGUUUUAUCAAAUGAACAUAUCCACCAUGGCACCCUGGGAGAAUACUUUGCAGUUGCCUUCAUUUGUUUUGUUUUGUUUUAAGAUUUAUUUAUUUAUUUAUUUGACAGAGAGACAGCAAGACAGGGAACACAAGCUGGGGUGGGGAUGGGAGAGGGAGAAGCAGGCUUCCUGCUGAGCAGGGAGCCUGAUGCGGGGCUCAGAUCCCAGGGUCCUGAGAUCUUGACCUGAGCCGAAGGCAGAUGAUUGAUGACUGAGCCACCCAGGCGCCCCUGCAGUUGCCUUUAAUAAUCAGUCCUUGAAUGAAGAAUUUCAAAGCUGUAGUCCCAGUUCCCGUGCUUAUCGCUUUGUAGCUCUAGGCAAGUCGUUUAAUGCCUCUGAGCCCUUAUCAGUCAGAUGGGAAUGUGAAUAAUAGAAAAUAAAGAAUUGGUGAAAAAACUUUGUAAAAGGAACACAGCUCUAAGGUGGUACUCUCUGAAGCCCCUUGCCACACUCCACAAAAGUGCCUAACAUGUAGCAAGUAAACAUAAACUUUAUUUUUCCUAAUUGAGUUGAAUAGUAAUGGGAUCCAUUUAUUAAUAUCUAAGUUUGGUCCUAGCAGUUGGCAAACCUUUGUUGGAGCUGGAAAACUUUACCAAGGGAAGAUAAAAUUAUCUUCCUUGCGUAGGCUGCCUCUCCUACCCUAGGACAGUUUCGUUAUUGAACCAAGGGAUUAAUGAAAGAGGAAGCAGCCUGCUGCCCAGGGAUUUUCUUGGUGCUUCCUCCUGGGUGGGCAUACGCUGGACCUGGGAGACAGAACAGGAACUUGCUGUCCUUCAUUUUCCUUCUCACAGGAACCACCCAGGGGGGGGAAAAAAGGAACUACUGCCAGAGCGACAGAUGUGGGUGGAUAGGGACUCUCCUGGGUUCAGGGGGAUUGCCCUGGGUGGGUGGGGGUGCUUUGCAUUCCGCUUGCCAGGUACCUUCUGGGGUAUCAGUGACUUAGUCUUUUCCUCCUGUAGUGGAAGGAAACCAGCAAAUCAGACCCAGAAUAAAGAAAUUACCAUGGAAGGCUUUCUUAAAAAUGCACUUAAAAGAGUGAAACCAUAACUAGAAGAGUGCUUCCAAGGCAGAGGUUGCUUUAGCUUGGAUCUCCUGGGUUUAAGCAAUGAGAUUUGGGUUUGAGCAUGUUUACUAUAAAUAAAACCAUUUCCCUGGAGCCUGGCAAGUUUUGCAGCAGGCAUACCAAAAUGUAAUUGAAAUGUGACUGCCUCUUAAAUUGUGAAAUUAAUUUUACACUUAACAAAUGCUUUAAAAAAAAAUAGAGGAACAAGUGGCUUUAAAGUUCAGGGUGUUAAUAUUUGAAAUCUGUCCAAUUUAAUUAGUUGGGUCCCAGUGACUUUUUCUCUGGUCAGUGUCACUGAUCUAACACCCAAUUCUCUUCUUGAUUGUGAGAUAGAAAUUAAUUGUAUCAUUUAUUUAGUUGUAUUGACCUGAAUCGUAUCUCUCCAGCAUACAUUAUUUCAGGAAAUAGGAUGCAUCCAUGUGGAAUUUACUCAGUAACUCUUCUUAGUGACAUUUGUGUGAUCUAAUUCAAGGACCUGUAGUGAAGCCUUCACAUGAUUUACUUGCAUAUGAUGCAGCUGUGUUUAGUAUUGCAUUUACAUUUUUAAAAACAAGAAUGCACCUUCUUGAUGGAACAGACAUGCAUUUUUAGACUCAGCAGACUCAAGAACUGUAGAACAAAGAAGUUUCUUCAAAAUCAAGUCCAAACAUCUUUUUUGUAUUGGAGAGAAAGAAACUUGGGUUCAGAAACAUUUAGUGGCCCUGAAUCAAGGUCACAGUCAUUCAGUGAUAGAACAAAAUAAGAAACUAGAUGGGUUUCCAAUUCAAGGUUCUUGUUUGU